GCUCACUUCGGCAGCACAUAUACUAAAACUGGAACGAUACAGAGAAAAUUAGCAUGGCCCCUGCACAAGGAUGACACGCAAAUUCGUGAAGCGUUCUAUUUUUUU
rnacentral:snRNA from 1 species